UAGGGAAUAUUGGGCAAUGGACGAGAGUCUGACCCAGCCAUGCCGCGUGUAGGAAGAAGGCUUUCUGAGUUGUAAACUACUUUUGAUCGGGAACAAAAGAUCCUUGCGAGGAGCAUUGAGUGUACCGAUAGAAUAAGCACCGGCUAACUCCGUGCCAGCAGCCGCGGUAAUACGGAGGGUGCAAGCGUUGUCCGGAUUUAUUGGGUUUAAAGGGUGCGUAGGCGGCUAAUUAAGUCAGCGGUGAAAUUCCACAGCUUAACUGUUAGAACUGCCAUUGAUACUGGUUGGCUUGAGUACAGAUGAGGUAGGCGGAAUUGACAGUGUAGCGGUGAAAUGCUUAGAUAUUGUCAAGAACACCUAUUGCGAAGGCAGCUUACUAAACUGUAACUGACGCUGAGGCACGAAAGCGUGGGGAUCAAACAGGAUUAGAUACCCCCGUAGUCC
rnacentral:rRNA from 1 species